AUAACUCUCCUCUGCAGGGAAAGAGGGGGCGGGGCUUCGAGUGUUGUCAUUGGUGUUCCAGCCAAACAAACAUGGCGGCACCCAUGGAGCUGCUGUGCUGGGGAGGCGAUUGGGACUUGCCGUCUGUACAUACUGAAUCUUUAAUCGUGCUGGCGUACGCUAAAUUCGCCGGAGCCAAACUUACAGUCAAGCUAGUGGACUGGACAUGGAGGACUAUCACAGCCACUGUUCCACAACUGCACCAUGAGGGAACAUCAGUAACAGAACCUACACAGAUUCUUAACUUUCUAAGGCAGAAUAGAUUCAAUGCAGAUUAUGAGCUGUCCGCCAAGCAGGGAGCUGACACCAUGGCUUACAUUGCUCUCCUGGAGGAGAAACUGCGGCCGGCUUUGCUCCAUACAUUCUGGGUGGAUGCUGAGAACUAUGCCAACCUGACAAGGCCUUGGUUUGCUUCUCACUCUCCAUUCCCUCUCAACUUCUUUGUACCAAGCCGCCAGGCCAGUGUGGCUCUGUCCAGGAUCCUCCUGACCAAGGCAGAAGCUCCACUGCAUUCAGUCGCGGAGGUGGAAGGAAAGAUCUACAGUGAAGCCAAAGAGUGUCUGAAUUUGCUCUCUCACAGACUGGGAUCCUCACACUUCUUCUUCGGAAACACGCCUACAAGUCUGGAUGCCUUUGUUUUUGGCUACCUUGCACCGCUCCAUAAAGCCACUCUACCCAGUGCUCAGCUCCAGCAGCACCUAAAACAGCUUCACAAUCUCUGCCAGUUCUGCACUAACAUCCUCAAAAGCUACUUUUCCGAAGCUGCCUCUGAAUGAAAGCCUUGUAUGUUGGGGAAAAAAGUGUCUUCAAACAGAAAUGCACACUCAUUUCAAACGGCACAGAAGACAGAAAUAAUAUCUAUGGAUGAUAAUCUGCGCAGUAGCCCUCAACACAGACCCAGCCGACCCCAUAAACCUGAAGCCAAACCUUCAUCUCUGGCCACUGCCAGGAACUUGACCCCUGCCUGAUAACCUCACCCACACCACACAGUGGUAUCUUUCCUUACCUAUUUAUUUAAGCUUAUAUUAAAAUGGGCAUGACUGCUAGAGGAGUCUCAAGUUUGCUCAGUGAUCAGCCAUAACAUUAAAACCACCUGCCUAAUAGCGCCACCAAAAGAGCUCUGAGUUGUCGAGGCAUGGACUACACAAGACCUCUGAAGGUGUGUUGUGGUAUCUAGCUCCAAGACGUUGUACCUGUAACGUGUCUAUUGGGGCCUCUGUGGAUUAGACCAGUUUGUCCAGCACAUUCCACAGAUGCUGAUCCUGGGAAAUUUGGAUCACAUUAACACAUUGAAUUCUUUGUCAUGUUCCUCAAACCAUUAGCCUUCUCUCCCUAUGAGUAUUCAUGAACCUGUCGCUGGUUACUGGACCACUUUUGGUAGCUAUUGACCACUGCAUAUCAGGAACACCUCACACGACCUGCUAUAUUGGAGAUGCACUGACCCAGUCGUCUAACCGUUAUAAUUUUCACCUAAAACGUCACUCGGAUUUCUUACAUUCACUCCUUUUUUCCACAUCAACAUUGAGAACUGACUCUUCACUUGCUGACUAAAUAUAUCCCACCUCUCGACAGAUGCCACUGUAAUGAGAUAAACCUCUUAGUGGUUUUUAAUGUUAUGGCUGAUCAGAGUUUGUUGAACAAACGUUAUUGUGGUUGAACAAAUGUGGCUUCGGUCAUUACUGAGAGCUCAGUUUUUCCAUUAGUCUCAUACUGAUUUAUAUUAUUUUCUUAAUCUAUAAGAUUGUAUUUACAUAUCAAACAAUAUUUAAAAAAAAAUGAUGGUUAUCCAAAUACAACUAAUGACAGUAAUUAAAUAUUCAUAGACUGUUGCCAUUCUGAACAACCUUCGCCAUAGUGAAAUUAUAUUUUGUAAAAUUCACUGUGUACACACACACACACACACACACACACACACGUACAGUGUAUCUGACAAUAUCUUUCCAUUAGCAGUGUGUAAAAAUAGAGAUUCUUUUAGAGCUGUUAGUCCAUGCUGAACCUGAAUCCUUCAUUUUGCUGAACAUCUCCAAUAGUUUUUCACUUUUUCAUUAUGGCUGUUGUUAUAUAUUAAGGUUGGGCCUCGACAGUUUGCACAGCAUCAUAGCGGUUAAUCAACGUGUCGGUGUGUGACAGUCGGAAAUCAUCAGCCACCACCAGGCUAAAUAUUGUAACUCAUCAUAGCGUCUUCAUUCAGGUUAAUGUAUCAUUCCGCUUGCUCUCCUGAACACACCUACGUAAACAGUGAAAAUAUAGCGAUUUAUUUUUACUCAUAACAGUUUCUGUAUUUUAUUUAUUUUUUUGCUCUUUAAAGCAAAUGGAUCUGUUGAUUUUUCCGCAUGCGUGCCUUUCCCUCUGUAUCCAAGAGUAAUUUCCUGCCUUUGAACAUGCUUAAGCUUAAAUGAAAAUAAUUUCACAUUGUAAGCGUGCCAGAAGCGCUCAGGAGAUGCAUUUACACACUUUAUUGCAUCGUAAUCAUGAUUAGCUGCAUUCACCACAUCACGUACAGGCCAGUGGGUCCAGUUUUUCUUUCUUUUUUUUCCAUGUUAUUACUUUGUAUGCCCAUGUCUGUUACAUGUAUACAUGUCUGUUCAUGCAGGGCUGAUUUAUGGAAACAGUAUCUCCUGAAUUCCUUUAGUUCUGAUGCAUUUUAAAGCAUCUCGACUUCAGCUAAGAAAGGACGUGUCAAGUGUUCAAACACAAAUAUAAUAAAAUAGAGUUUAUAAUA